CAGACUUUUAUUAAUUAUGGGGGGUUUAGAAAACAUUCUAUAACAUCUACGAGGCACAAAACUGUAAAAUUUCUUCAACAACAAAGUCACCAAAAUUGUAACUUGAUCAGUAGUUAACCAAAUCCUUCUAAAUUCCCAAAACAACAAUAAUUUCGAAACCCUAAUCACACUGCGGAUUUCUAUUCCUAAUUUCUUAAAAUCAUUUUAUCUUAACUGAGAAAGAUGCAUCUAUGGCCAACACCCAGAUUAAGGGAUUCAUUCAAAAUGGAGUACUUGAAUAAUCUUGAAUGGAAUUUACAGAGGAUGAAAGAUGCAGAACACAGUGAGAAAUUACUCACUAAUUCUAGUAAUAAUAAUAAAAAGAGGAAUCCUUUUUGCCGUUUUGCUGUUGCUGCUUUAAAUGAUAUUGUUAUGAUUCUUUCUUGCUGUUUCUGUUGUGACGUUUGCAUUGAUGAGCAUUAGUGCAGCUGCUGUGGGAAUAGAUUUACGCAGACGAAGAUUUUAGUACUUAUUUUUUAUUCGUAGUUGAUGAUGGAUGAUAUAGUAGUACUUGCUUGUGUAUAAACUAUAAAGAGUUGCGUUUAGCUCAAAUUUACCUUAGCAUGUAAAGAUCUGCUUUUAGAAUGCAACUCCGAUUAUAAAAGUUUGAUCACUUCCGAAA